rfam:Punica granatum cultivar Dabenzi scaffold109, whole genome shotgun sequence.
AUGAGGCGUGAUGAUGUUUAUCCACCAUGUCUGCUGUUUGGUGAUGAAUUCUAACAUGCACUACCAUCUGAUCUCAU